UACGAAGGGGGCUAGCGUUGUUCGGAAUUACUGGGCGUAAAGGGUUUGUAGGCGGUUACACAAGUCCGUGGUGAAAGCCCAGAGCUUAACUCUGGAAUUGCCAUUGAAACUGUAUAGCUUGAGAGUGUUAGAGGAAAGUGGAAUUCCUAGUGUAGGAGUGAAAUCCGUAGAGAUUAGGAGGAAUAUCGAUGGCGAAGGCAGCUUUCUGGGACAUUUCUGACGCUGAGAAACGAAAGCGUGGGUAGCAAACAGG
rnacentral:rRNA from 1 species